ACAGCCCACUCUGCUCUCAGGUGGAAGAGGCUGACCACAACACAGCAGGACAAACACCCAGAGACGUCAGGUCCCCAGACCCCAAGGAAGGAGAGACAAAGAGGACUGGAAGGAAAAAAAAGAAUCCUGUCUUGUCAGAACAUGUUUUCGGUACAGAAGAGUGAGAGAUUCAGUCGGAAGGACACAGACUCGUCACUGAAGAUCUCGUGCUUCUGAGAAGAAUGAGACAAUAGUACUUGACAAUUAAACACCCGAGAACUUGAGAUUCUGCUUCUAGCAGAGAGGAGGCCAGCACAGAGGAGCGGACCCUCAAGAAACACUCGACAGUAAGAGCUUGAACAACACAUGAAAAACACUUAGAACAUGGUACUGACCUAACCCACAGACCUUGUAUUAUCUAACUGCCAAGGG